rnacentral:lncRNA from 1 species
CUCAAUAAAAAUCACUAACCUGCUUAAACAAUAAUUUACCAAAAUAUUUGGUAAUCAUAAACAACACAUCAGUAAAGUAAAACGCACUAAGCGUUGCAGCGGAAUAGCUUAAGUGGAUUACAUGUAUGAAGACAUGGAAUCCUGAGCCUAAUUUAGUACUUAUAUAUCAAAAGCUUUGCUCUGCUGACAUCCAUCUACAUCACAGCUUAACCUGCACAUUUAGAAAACAUAUGCAGGGCUGAGUACUAAAAAGGUACUCAAUGGUCACAUGCCGAAAUAACUUGAAAGAUUGCUCUUAGAGCUAUAAAUUGAACUUGCCAUCUCAAGCAUCACACAGGAGUUUUACUUAAAUAACCUGUGCACGCAAAACUGUAAAACUUUCAUGUAAUUAUCAUAAACUUCACAUGCGUCUG